rnacentral:lncRNA from 1 species
AUGGAACCAGGAAACCAAACCAGUGCAUCUCAAUUCAUCCUCCUGGGACUGUCAGAAAAGCCGGAGCAGGAAACACUUCUCUUUUCUCUGUUCCUCUGCAUGUACCUGGUACAGUCCUGGGGAACCUGCUCAUCAUCCUGGCCAUCAGCAUAGACUCCCACUUCCACACCCCCAUGUACUUCUUCCUGGCCAACCUGUCCCUGAUUGAUUUCUGUCUGGCCACCAACACCAUCCCCAAGAUGCUGGUGAGCCUUCAAACCGGAAGCAAGGCCAUCUCUUAUCCCUGA